AGAUGUGAGGGCGAUCUGGCUGCGACAUCUGUCACCCCAUUGAUCGCCAGGGUUGAUUCGGCUGAUCUGGCUGGCUAGGCGGGUGUCCCCUUCCUCCCUCACCGCUCCAUGUGCGUCCCUCCCGAAGCUGCGUGCUCAGUGGAAGAGGACGACCAUCCCAGAUAGAAGGAGUGUACCGUUCUUCGAAGAAGUCCUAUUCAGCUGUGCUAGUUUUCUAAGGAAAAGCCAUUCUUUAUGAAGAGAAGGAACCAAACAAUAACUUUUCCAUUAUGACAGCAUAAGCUGUAGCCUAU